UCUACGGGAGGCAGCAGUGAGGAAUCUUGGGCAAUGGACGGAAGUCUGAACCAGCCAUGCCGCGUGCAGGAAGACGGCUUUAUGAGUUGUAAACUGCUUUUGUACAAGGGUAAACCUGAAUACGUGUAUUCAGCUGAAAGUACUGUACGAACAAGGAUCGGCUAACUCCGCUCCAGCAGCCGCGGUACGAGGGAGGAUCCAAGCGUUAUCCGGAUGUAUUUGGUUUAAAGGGUACGUAGGCGGAUUGAUAAGUUAGAGGUGAAAUGUCCGAGCUUAACUCGGGAACUGCCUCUAAUACUGUUGAUCUAGAGAGUAGAAGCGGAAGGCGGAAUGUAAGGUGUAGCGGUGAAAUGCUUAGAGAUCAUACAGAACACCGGUUGCGAAGGCAGCUUACCAAUCUAUAUCUGACGUUGAGGCACGAAAGCGUGGGGAGCAAACAGGAGUAGAUACCCUGGUAGUC
rnacentral:rRNA from 1 species